UUCUUUUAGUUAGUUUGUUCAUGGAUAGGACGGAAUUAAAUAUUUUUAGCCUACAAACCAAUCCGCAAAAUGGUGGAUUGGAUAUGGAUUGGGUCAAAUCCACAUCAAAUCCACAGAUGCAUGGAUUGGAUUAAAAAUUUACAAUCUGCAAAAUCGUGGAUCAAAUAUGAAUUGAUGUUUAAUCCGCAAAAUCCGAUUCACAAACAUCCCUACAAAAUAUUGUCGCUUAGAUAAUGACUUUGUCGAUUACCCUUUUAUCAAAAUCUCCUUUCUUCUCUUCUUCUUAUUUUAUUUUAUUUUAUUUUUAAUUUAGAUUCAGAUUACACAUAAAAAAAAAAAAUUCUCAUACCAAUUUUGAUAAACAAAAUGAUGUCGCAUGAAAAUAAUGAAUGAGUAAAAAUCAAAUUUAUGUUCAUUUUACCACUAUCAAUCGUAUAAGCUUUUGUGUUGAUGCUUUACAAAAGUUCAAACUAAUCAAUGUAGGCAAGACUUAGAAGGAUCAGCUAGAAAAAAAAAAAUUGGAUGCAUGCUUUGGUUAAAUGCUGCUAGAGUGAUCGCCAAGAAUAACGAGAUUAAAAAAAAAUUAAAAAAAAAACUCCAGUAGAGACUGCAGUCACUAAGGGUGCCUUUGGUAUCAUUUAAUUUCCAAUUGGUGUUUUCUAUAUUUAUUUUAAAGAAGUAAAAUAUGUUUUUGAUGUGAUGUUCCCAAAUUGAAGAGGCUUUC
rnacentral:lncRNA from 1 species